GAUGAACGCUGGCGGCGUGCCUAAUACAUGCAAGUCGAGCGAACAGACGAGGAGCUUGCUCCUUUGAUGUUAGCGGCGGACGGGUGAGUAACACGUAGGUAACCUACCUAUAAGACUGGGAUAACUUCGGGAAACCGGAGCUAAUACCGGAUAAUAUUUCGAACCGCAUGGUUCGAUAGUGAAAGAUGGCUUUGCUAUCACUUAUAGAUGGACCUGCGCCGUAUUAGCUAGUUGGUAAGGUAACGGCUUACCAAGGCAACGAUACGUAGCCGACCUGAGAGGGUGAUCGGCCACACUGGAACGGAGACACGGUCCAGACUCCUACGGGAGGCAGCAGUAGGGAAUCUUCCGCAAUGGGCGAAAGCCUGACGGAGCAACGCCGCGUGAGUGAUGAAGGUCUUCGGAUCGUAAAACUCUGUUAUUAGGGAAGAACAAACGUGUAAGUAAAUGUGCACGUCUUGACGGUACCUAAUCAGAAAGCCACGGCUAACUACGUG
rnacentral:rRNA from 1 species